UUUUUAUAAAAUGAAGACGCCCAAGUAGAACUUCAGACCUACUACAUCACAAUCUUGGGUAGGAGGUGACACAAAGCAAGCCUGCAGACCAUUCCACGGAUGCUUCAAAAUGAAGACCUCCCUCUCCCAGAAAGGAAGGAGCUUUCACCACAAGAAGAUGGAAGCACAGCUUACUGGGUGGGUGGGAGAUAAUACCAAAACACAGAAUUUCCGCAGGAAAAGGACGUGCACUAACACUACCUUAGGGUAGGUAGUUUCAGGUGAAGAGGGCAGAUCAGAAAACUGAGGCUUCAAGACAUCACAGCACCUGUCACACCACUGAGGUGUUGUCAUGAAAGAAAAUAAGAAGAUGUAAAAUAAAAUGAUUUGAAAGGGAUAUUUCUGCCCCCCACCCAAAAAAAUAAGGUCUGCCUUUUAUAUUGUCUAACAUAUCAAAUUGACAGCAAUGUAAAUAGACUAAUAAUACUCCUCAAUCCUGAAGGAAGACUUCAGCUACUAAAGAUUUCUUAAUCAAGAAAAGAAAUGCUUUUCUUUGUCUUCGACUACUAUCGCAAAAGAAAAAAGAAAACAAAAAAGAGUCCUUCAUUGUUGAAGUAAUCCCCUAGAAAUAGAAUUCAACUACAUUUACAGGGUAAAAAAUUACCAGGGUGUAUUAAAUCUAUAUGAGACAUUG